AGUAGUACAUCAAAAAGUGCAUAAACAACAUCUCACUUGUUAUGACAUUCCAAAUGAAAUUCCUUGCCAUUAACAUCUGAUUCUUAAAGUUCCUAUUUUCUUAAAGCCAUUAAUUAAUCUACGGUGGCAUCACCCUAGAUAGCACAGAAAAGGAAACACUGAUAUGCGGAAAUGCAGAAACAGACAUGGGGAAAUGUGAUUUCUCAAACAUAUAGGAAACAGAAACAUGGGGAAAAUGUGUCAAUAUUAAAAUAUAGGGAUACAAUCAUAAAUUUUUUUAUAUAAAAUUUUUUUAAAAAUCAUAUAUUCAAGUAAGUUUUAUCAUUAAUUACACAAAUAUCAUUAAAUCAAUUAAUCAGAAAUCUUUUGUUGAAAAAAAAAACAGCAAUAAUCCUUUAAAAAGAGGGGAAAAUACAAAUACCAAACUGAUCAAAAGUAGAAAGUAGGAAAAAGAAAUAACAGAAAUCAGUUAUAGAUAAAAAACAAAAUCUCAUUGCAUUCAGCAGGGUUUGGGGUUGGGAAUUGGGAUCGACCAGAUGAUGCCAAUGCAAAAAUGCAUUUUCAUUUUUUCACAAAUCUCAAAAACGGCCUAGGAAUGUGUCAUAUGUGUCUGACAGUUUCCAUUUAGGAAAUGUAUCAGAAGCAUUGAAAAGCUGCUCCAGAUGUGUUUCUGUGCUUCAGAGGUACAUAGUGCGCUGGCAGUUGCAAUGAUUUUGAGCAACACUGUACAGAUUUUGACCAGAGGUUUCAGCAUCUCUUUUUUCAGAGGAAUGAACUGAUACAAUUACUUUAUUUUCUUUCUAAACUGUUGGAUAAAAAUGAAGUGGCAAUUCUUUCUGAGAUUGGAGGAUCUUAGGUGCUGUUUGGAGUGUCCUUGUUGAGUUAUCUUAUUUGAUCAAGCCUAAACUAGUAUCUCUUCAGUAAGGCUCCAUUUGGAUAUGUGUGCAUUUGAAAUGAAUGAGAAUUUGGAUUUGUGUUUCAAGUGAAAAAUUGUAAAAUUUCAACAUAAUGUAAAAUUCAAAUAUCAUUUGAAAUUCACGUGUAUAAAAUGGACCCUAAUAUUAUUUGAUAUUUUAUAUGAGGAUUUAUCAUUUUUGCCAUUUGUAAUCUGGGUCAUGCAACUCAAUGGUGUUAUCAACGCUUGUAUGGUUUGGCUCCAGUGAUAAAAGGUUGGAUGUGCUUUUGCUAGAUACUAUGUUCUUAUUCUACCAAUGAGGAUAAGAAGGCUCACAUUUCAGGACAAUAAAUUUGCUUGCUUUCUUAUUAAAUGAUAUAAAUAACUUGAGAUGUAUGCGACACACAUUGCAUUUAACAUGUCUUUUGAUAUUGGGCUUACAUAUUCUGCUACACUAUUCUUAUUUGAUUCAAUAUGUGGCAUUGUGUUGCAUGCACCUAUAUUAGUUUUGUUACAAGCAGUGAAGAAAUUAGAUAUUUAUAAUUAUAAAUUCUGAAUGUCAUCUUGUGAGGUUUCUCUGAGAAGGACAGUGUCUGUUGCAUCAGCUGUAUUUUUUACCUGUUUUCUUUUGGUUACAAAGAAAACUUAUACUUGCCAAAUCUAAGCUGCUUUAAU
rnacentral:misc_RNA from 1 species